UGCUGUGACUUCACUGACUUGAACAGCCCAAGACCAGCAGACAAAAUGAAGACUCUGGUGCUUCUUUCCGCCCUGGCUUUCCUCUGCAGCUCUGUGGAGACGUUCUUUUUUGUACCUCCGAACAAGCUAGCGAGCUAUAAUAUUGCCGAUUAUUUUAGAGGCAAAAGAGAAGCUGGCAAUGAACCCGCAGUGCUGCCUGAGGGAAGAGGUCCCAUUUUCCUGAUUCUUCCUCCAAUCGCUCAGGGUGAAGGAGAAGCCGUGCAGUAGAGGAGAUGAAUCACUUGCCUGUUUAAAGCAGAGUCAUCUGGUUAGAACUGCAAUUCCUCUAGUGGUCUAGAAACAAAUAAAAUAGAAAGCAUCUUA